UGUAAUGUAAAGUUAAUUAGCUUAUUAGUUAUUAGUUAAUGUUUAUCAACUAAAAUUGUGAGUAAUAUAAUUUAAGUGAUCGUGAUAAUUAAAGUUAACUGGCAUUCGUAAAAUUUCGACGGGAAAGGAAAUAACGUUGUAACAAUGAAAUACAUAACACCCCAUCAAAUGACGACAUCAUUAUAACAUUUGAAACAUUUUUUGGGGUUUUAAUAUAACACAAACUAUUAGGAAAGAUUGUCUCAUAGUGAGACCAAACACAUACGGGAUGACACAUUUCAAUUUGACCUAAAAGUGAUCAAUUUUGACCUUAAAGUGAUCAAUUUCAACAAAGUAUAUAUAUAUACUAACCUUAAAUGGAAUAAUUAUGACCCUUGUAAAGUGAUCGAAAAUCACCUUUAAAGUGUAUUCAAGUUACCCUUGAUGCCUUUAAUUUAUUCUACAAAGAGCUAACCCUUGAUGCCUAUUUGCAAAGAAAGGGCUUCUAGGUUACCACCACCCAUUAUCACCGGUUGCAAUUUUAAAAUCAAAAAGAGAUCCUAUAUUUAUUUCAACCAAUCUUAUAAAUUGCAUUGAAUGUCUACUUUAACUGCAAACUAUUUUUUUCAUCUCUCUCAAACUUUCUCUCUUCCUUUUCUCGUUCUCUUUGUUUUCUCUUUUCCCUUGGGCUUGCCCUAUUGACAAAGGCACACACCUCUUCCUCCUUCCAUUUUACUUCCAUACCGCUAGUCAUCCCACCGCUACGCCAAGGCUACACAGCUCGUGCGCAACUCCUCAAGACAACAGUUGUGCACGUCCUUGUCCCCACAGUGCCGCCACCACCUUCUGCAACCACAAGUGUGUUGGUGAGGUUUGUCUAAUUGUGCUUGGAUGACGGUAGUUAUUAUCUUGAACAUGGUGUUCGUUGAUUUUCCCAUAUCUGCGUACCCGUAACUAGGACAAUGUCUCCGUACCCAAAAAUUUUAAAACUAACGUACCAGAGACUUGGAUCCACACUCGUAUGUAACAUAAGUUGCUGUUAUAGGUGCGUACAUGCCGUAAUACCCUCUUACAUACAUUGUUUUCUUAAUAAUAUUAUCUCUAAUUGCAAUUAUGCAAUGUAUUGUGAUUAGGAGUUACUAGCAGGUAAGUUCUAUAUGAAUAACUAAAAAUUAUGCUUACUAAGAAUUUAGAACAAUAUAGAUGAUAGAUUUACAGCUUUGGUAUAAGUAUGGGGUUGAUCCCCUUGUUGAUAAAGCAAUAUAUAUUUUUGGCGAGUCGAAAUCGGAAUGAUUGCUCUAUUGUGAAGUUUUAGAUUACAGAUGAGGUGCUCUUGGGUGUUGCAAACCCCAAGGGUCCUCAUGCAAAGGAUAAGUGAUAUUUGGUUAAGAUUCUCGUGGGUUUGCAAGGGCUUCACCUAAGGAAUAGAUUAUACUUGGUAAGGUACUUCAACUAAAGAAUAGAUAAUACUUGGUAAGGUUCCCCAUGGGUCUUGCAAACCCUAAGUGUCCUCACCCAAAGAAUAAGUGAUAUUUGAUUAAGAUUUUCGUGGGUCCUGCAAAUCUCAUGGGUGACCUAAAGAAUAAAUUAUACUUGGUAAGGUUCCCCAUGGGUCUUGCAAACCCCAAGGGUCCUCAAUGCUAUUCAUUUAAGCUAGUAAAAAGUGCCUCAUGGGUCUUGCAAACCCCUAGGUUCCUCGUUCAUAGAAAGAUUAUACCUAAGUCAAGUUUUCUUAUGGGGUUUACAAACCACUUUGAUCAUACAUAUUUUGAAGUAAACAAGCUCACAAGGUCAUACUUCACCAUUGGGCGUCGAAUAGCCCGAUAACGCCCUUAGUUGAGUUGGUACAUACAUGUCUUAUAGAGAUGUUUAAAACUUAGAAGAGGGGGCUUGAGACUGACGUUCCAACCAUGAACACAUGGUUUAGGUUGGAAAGGAAGGAAGGAUAUUAAGAAGUAAAGAUGGAAGACCAGUGGUUAAUAGUUGCACUUUGAAUGUUAUGAGAUCAUCUUUAUAAUGUAGUACAACAAUAAUGUUAUCUAGUUUGUUGGCCUUAUUAUAAUAUGUUGUUAAUUAUUGACGUGUAUAUGUUUGUUUUUAUGUUUGAUUGAUUAUGACUUUCUCUAAUGUUCCAACUAUAAUACAUUUGGCCUUUGGUCUGAAGUUGAGGAGCAGGAGAAUCAACAUCCUAGACAGGCAUAACGGGCACUGAAGCUUCUUUUGCAUUGCUUUCGAGAAGAGCGAUGAAUGUGAAGCAUAAUUUGUGUUACUGAUGUGCUCGUUUGUAGAGCACAUUUAUCUCCUCAUUGUAGUGUCGAAUCUCGCAUUUUAAAUGCUUUUUACACACUUUACGCAUGAUUUUACCUUGUUCUUGUCUCCAUGGUGUUUUGAGGUAAUUUCAGGUAUCUUCGGAGGUUUCAAGGUAUUUUACGUUGCGUACGAGACUUAGAUGCUUUGAUCGAAGAUUAGACACGUGUAUCGAAGCUUUCCUAAGCAUUCAAAGUCUUUCGCAAGGUCCUCGCAAAGCUCGUAAGCCAUCUAGAGCUUCAAAGAUACAAUUAUGCCAAGGAAAGAACCCAUUCGGCCGAGCCACAACUCUAUUCGGGCGAAUGGCUGAAGCUUCGGGCGAAUAGCUGAAAAUUCGGGCGAAUAGGACUUGGAAGGCUACAUAUUGUGCUCAAAGUUGCAGGAAACACCGAAUGGUGCCCCAUUCGGUCGAAUGCACCUUCAAUUCGGCCGAAUUCAAGCCCCAGACUGCGCGAUUUCUUUUCUUCGCAAACCAAACUCCAAGGGCUUUUAGGGCUUUUUACCUCAUUUGUUUCUUAGCUUAUAAAUACCUCUCAAUUCUGUAAAACAAAAGGGGGCUGAAGGGGAUGCCUAGUUAGAGUGCCUUAGUGCCUCAUUUUAGAACAUCAAACCCUUUAAUGCUUUCUCUAGUUUUUGCCCUAGUGUAGAUUUAUUGUUCUUCAUUUAUGCUUUCAUCUAUUUUCAUGUCAA